rnacentral:rRNA from 1 species
CCUGGUAGCGGGGGGUAACUAUUGGAAACGAUAGCUAAUACCGCAUAAUAUUGAUUAUUGCAUGAUAAUUGAUUGAAAGAUGCUAUUGCAUCACUACCAGAUGGACCUGCGUUGUAUUAGCUAGUAGGUGAGGUAACGGCUCACCUAGGCGACGAUACAUAGCCGACCUGAGAGGGUGAUCGGCCACACUGGGACUGAGACACGGCCCAG